GAUGUAACGCUGGCGGCGUGCCUAAUACAUGCAAGUCGAGCGAACGGACGAGAAGCUUGCUUCUCUGAUGUUAGCGGCGGACGGGUGAGUAACACGUGGAUAACCUACCUAUAAGACUGGGAUAACUUCGGGAAACCGGAGCUAAUACCGGAUAAUAUUUUGAACCGCAUGGUUCAAAAGUGAAAGACGGUCUUGCUGUCACUUAUAGAUGGAUCCGCGCUGCAUUAGCUAGUUGGUAAGGUAACGGCUUACCAAGGCAACGAUGCAUAGCCGACCUGAGAGGGUGAUCGGCCACACUGGAACUGAGACACGGUCCAGACUCCUACGGGAGGCAGCAGUAGGGAAUCUUCCGCAAUGGGCGAAAGCCUGACGGAGCAACGCCGCGUGAGUGAUGAAGGUCUUCGGAUCGUAAAACUCUGUUAUUAGGGAAGAACAUAUGUGUAAGUAACUGCGCACAUCUUGACGGUACCUAAUCAGAAAGCCACGGCUAACUACGUGCCAGCAGCCGCGGUAAUACGUAGGUGGCAAGCGUUAUCCGGAAUUAUUGGGCGUAAAGCGCGCGUAGGCGGUUUUUUAAGUCUGAUGUGAAAGCCCACGGCUCAACCGUGGAGGGUCAUUGGAAACUGGAAAACUUGAGUGCAGAAGAGGAAGGUGGAAUUCCAUGUGUAGCGGUGAAAUGCGCAGAGAUAUGGAGGAACACCAGUGGCGAAGGCGACUUUCUGGUCUGUAACUGACGCUGAUGUGCGAAAGCGUGGGGAUCAAACAGGAUUAGAUACCCUGGUAGUCCACGCCGUAAACGAUGAGUGCUAAGUGUUAGGGGGUUUCCGCCCCUUAGUGCUGCAGCUAACGCAUUAAGCACUCCGCCUGGGGAGUACGACCGCAGGGUUGAAACUCAAAGGAAUUGACGGGGACCCGCACAAGCGGUGGAGCAUGUGGUUUAAUUCGAAGCAACGCGAAGAACCUUACCAAAUCUUGACAUCCUUUGACAACUCUAGAGAUAGAGCCUUCCUCUUCGGGGGACAAAGUGACAGGUGGUGCAUGGUUGUCGUCAGCUCGUGUCGUGAGAUGUUGGGUUAAGUCCCGCAACGAGCGCAACCCUUAAGCUUAGUUGCCAUCAUUAAGUUGGGCACUCUAAGUUGACUGCCGGUGACAAACCGGAGGAAGGUGGGGAUGACGUCAAAUCAUCAUGCCCCUUAUGAUUUGGGCUACACACGUGCUACAAUGGACAAUACAAAGGGCAGCGAAACCGCGAGGUCAAGCAAAUCCCAUAAAGUUGUUCUCAGUUCGGAUUGUAGUCUGCAACUCGACUACAUGAAGCUGGAAUCGCUAGUAAUCGUAGAUCAGCAUGCUACGGUGAAUACGUUCCCGGGUCU
rnacentral:rRNA from 1 species